UUCUUUUGAGUUUUGUGUGAUGAAGUUUUCAAGUUUUGGCUGGGACAACAAUGGAUGAAGGACUAAGGAGCAACAAGACCCUAAGCUUCAAAAUACCCAAGGCACCCCAAGGUAAUAUUCAAGGAAGAACCAAGCGUCUAAGCUUGGGGAUGCCUCGCAAGGCAUCCCCUCUUUCAUCUCCAUUCUAUCGGUAUGUCACUUGGAGCUCUAUUUCUAUUCAUCACAUGAUACAAGUUUUGCUUGGAGUGUCGUGUAUUAUAGUUUGCUUUUAUUUUAGUUUGCCACAAUUAUUGUUUGAUGGACACACAUAUUUGAGAGAGACACAUGUUCAUCAUAAUUUGUUAGAAUACUCUAUAUUGCACUUAUAUCUUUUGAGCUAGGCAGUUUCUCUAGUGCUUCACUUAUAUCUUUUAGAGCACGAUGGUGUUCAGAUUUAGAUAAAUAAUUGUACUAUCAUGCUUAACUUAAAUGUUUUUGGGAGUCUAAUAAAUAGUAAUGUAAUAUCCAUGUGUUAUAAGAUUAGUCCAAAAAUGAUAAGUAUUCAAGGGGGGCGUAAUAAAAACUUUCAUGUAGCUCACCAUAUAAGAGAACUGUGGGUUAAUUAUAUUGAGUAGUAUAUGGAAGGGCAUGAGUACAUGAUCAUUUGUUAGUAGAAAUAUCGGUAUUAAAGCUUGUUAUUUGUUACUCAUGUAAAUAUUGGUUAUGACAUGGUGAUGAUGUGUGAGCGUUCUUAUACUUGAUGAAAUCCUAUCGUGCUGUCCGAGUGAGGGGCACGCGAUGGUUAAUUCCUAUCAACCUCCUCCCUAUGAGCAUGCAAUAGUACUUUGCUUCGGGAGAGAUAAUAAGGCUUUACAAUAAGUAUGUGAGUUAUUUAUGACUAAUGUGAAUCCAUGGAUAUACGAACUCUCACAUCUUCAUAUUUUGCUAGCCUCCUCAGUAAUGUGCAUUUCCCAUUCUCUCCUCGAGAGUCGGUGCACCUUCGACGGUGCAUCCUAACCCCAUGAUAUCAUAAGCUCUAUAAAACAUAAGACACUCUAUAUAUUCCUCAAAACAGCCACCAUACCUGCCUAUCAUGGCAUUUCCAUAGCCAUUCCGAGAUAUAUUGCCAUGGAACUUUCACUAUUUCGACACAUGACUUGUGUGUUCAUCAUCAUAUUGCUUUGCAUGGUCAUGUAGCUGACAUAGUAUUUGUGGCAAAGCGACCAUUCAUCAUUACCUACAUGUUACACUAGAUCAUUGCACAUCCUAGUACACUCCUAGGGGCAUCCAUAUAGAGUCAUUUUGUAUAUAUUUCAUAUCAAGUUAUAAGUAAAUAAAAGUGUGAUGAUCAUCAUUAUUAGAGCACUGUCCCAGUGAGGAAAGGAUGAUGGAGACUAAACCCCCCCCUCACAAGUCGGGAUGAGACUCCGAACGAAAAAAGGAAAAGAAUAAAAAAUGAGAAAAGAAAGAAGAAAGAAAGAAAAGAUAUAAAAAGGAGAAAUAAAUGAGAGAAAAUAUAGAAGGGCAUUGUUACUAUCUCUUUUUACACACUUGUGCUUAGAGGGACCACCAUGUACUUCAUAUAGAGAGUCUCCUGAGUUUUCAUUUUCAUGUGCUAGUUGGAAUUUGUCGUUUUAGAAGUUGGCUUGUAUAUUACGAUGACGGGCUUGCUCAAAUGCGUGAGGUCUUCAUGGGCAAGAAAGAUGCAUUCACACCCACUUAGCUUUCGUUGAGCUUUUAUACACUUAUAGCUCUAGUGCAUUUGUUUCAUGUCAUCCCUAAUCCUCCCAUUGAAAUCGAUUGAUGGGCAUAUCCAUAGCCCAUUAGUCUGCCUAGUUGACGCGGGACUUCCUUUCCACUUUGACUCCUUUUGAUCUCUACCACCAUACUCUAUUUCACCCAUAUGCUAUAUCCAUGGUUCACACUCAUGUAUUGAGUGAGUUGAAAAUUCUAAAGCGUGUUAGAAAUGUGAUUCAAUUGCAUGACUUGACACCGAGGGGCUCAUGAUUUAUACAUAUGCAGUGAAGAUGGAUUCAUGCCAUGCUAAUAUGAUAAAAUGAGUAGGGAAUAACAUUCUUAAGGAUCAUAUAUUUUGGAUAUGAAUGAUUAUGCUUCUUAUGUUCAUGGAUUUUAUUAUGUUGAUAUCAAUUAAUUCAUCAUUACUAAAAGAUCGUACCUAAAAUAGAUUACAUGUUGGGUAGCAAGUCGCAUCAAAGAUACUAUUUUUAUUAUUUAGCCACUCAAGGACGAGUAGGAAUUAAGCCUGGAGAUGCUAAUACGUCUCCAACGCAUCAAUAAUUUUUGAUUGUUCCAUGCUAUUAUAUUAUCAAUCUUGGAUUUUUUAUAUGCACUAAUACGCUAUUUCAUACUAUUUUUGGGAACUAACCUAUUAACCUAGUGUCUAGUGAGAGUUGGUGUUUUUUGCUUGCUUUUGUUUUACUAGGAAAUCAGUACAAAACAAAGUCCAAACUCUACGAUUUUUUUGAUGAUUUUUUUCUAGACAAAAGAGACCCUCAAAGCUUAAGAAGGAGACGCAAUGACACACGAGGAGACGACAAGGCAACAGGGCACGCCUAGGGGGCAGGCACGCCUUGAUGCCUUGUGUGCCCCUUGUGGCUCCAUCUGACCUAAUUCCACCUUCAUAAAUUCUCUAUUAUUUAUAAACCAAUAGAGCGCCACCCGAAACACUUUUUUCGCCGCCACAACUCUCAGUUCCGCCAUGAUCCCAUCUAGAGAUCUUUUCCGGUGGCCCGCCAGAGGGGGAAUUGAUCAUGGAGGUCAUGUACAUCAACUUUGCUUCCACCAUGAUGAUGUGUGAGUAGUCCACCACAGACCUAUGAGUUCAUAGCUAAUACCUAGAUGGUUUCUUCUCUCUCUUUGAUCUUAAUGAAAAGUUCACCGCGAUUACCGCGGUGAUCUAUCCAAUGUAAUCCUAUUUCGUGGUUGUUUGUUGGGAUCUCAUGAAUUGUGGGUUUAUGAUCAGAUUAUUCAUGAAUACUAAUUGAGUCUUCUUUGAAUUCUUUCAUGCAUGAUUGUUAUAGCUUCAUAUUUCUCUCCGAUCUAUGUGUUUGGUUUGGCCCACUAGAUUGGUUUAUCUUCAGUGGGAGUGGUGUGUUCUAAUGGAUUCAAUCUUGUGGUCCUCAAUCCCAGUGGUAGAAAGAGACAUGGCACAUAUUUGUAUUAUUGACAUUAAUGAGAAAAUGAUAGGGUUUGAACAUAUUUCUGGUCUUACUUUCUCUACAUCAUGUCACCUUGCUCCAAGCAUUACUCUAUUUUAUACUUAAUACUCCAGAUGUGUGCUGGAUGGCGGUCGAUGAGUGGAGUAAUAGUAGCAAAUGCAGGCAGGAGUCGGUCUACUUGUUUAUGGACGUGAUGCCUAUAUACAUGAUCAUUGCCGUGAAUAACAUGUCAUAACGAUGUGCUAUUCUGCCAGUUGCCCAACAAUAAUUUGUUUACCCACCUAAUGCUAUGUUCAAGAGAUAAGCCACUAGUAAAAACUAUGGCCCUCAGGUCUACUUAAAUGGAUUUACUAAAACUCAAUUUACCUUGCUGCAAUUUAUUUAUUUUUAUAUUUAUAUUGUCUAUCUAUUAAUAUUUAAUCCUUGCAAGUAACAAGUUCAAG
rnacentral:lncRNA from 1 species